CUACGGGGUGCUCCAGUGAGGAAUAUUGCACAAUGGGGGGAACCCUGAUGCAGCAACGCCGCGUGGAGGAUGACGCAUUUCGGUGUGUAAACUCCUUUUAUAUGUCAAGAAAAUGGCGGUAGCAUAUGAAAAAGCACCGGCUAACUCCGUGCCAGCAGCCGCGGUAAUACGGAGGGUGCAAGCGUUACUCGGAAUCACUGGGCGUAAAGGACGCGUAGGCGGGUUGGAAAGUCAGGUGUGAAAUCCUACAGCUUAACUGUAGAACUGCACUUGAAACUUCUAAUCUAGAGUAUGGGAGGGGGAGAUGGAAUUAGUGGUGUAGGGGUAAAAUCCGUAGAUAUCACUAGGAAUACCUAAAGCGAAGGCGAUCUCCUGGAACAUUACUGACGCUAAGGCGUGAAAGCGUGGGGAGCAAACAGGAUUAGAUCCCUUGUAGUC
rnacentral:rRNA from 1 species